rnacentral:rRNA from 1 species
CCCUUAGAUGUUCUGGGCCGCACGCGUGCUACACUGAUGCAUUCAACGAGUCUAAAACCUGGUCUGAUAGGGCUGGGUAAUCUUUUGAAAGUGCAUCGUGAUUGGGAUAGAUGAUUGCAAUUCUUCAUCUUCAACGAGGAAUGCCUAGUAAACGCAAGUCAUCAGCUUGCAUUGAUUACGUCCCUGCCCUUUGUACACACCGCCCGUCGCUCCUACCGAUUGAGUGGUCCGGUGAGGCUUUGGGAUCUGAGCGGAAAGAGCGUUUCGCUGUUUCUGCUCGGAAAACUCAGUCGAACCUUAUCAUUUAGAGGAAGGAGAAGUCGUAACA